rnacentral:rRNA from 1 species
GACGAACGCUGGCGGCGUGCUUAACACAUGCAAGUCGAACGGAAAGGCCCUGCUUUUGUGGGGUGCUCGAGUGGCGAACGGGUGAGUAACACGUGAGUAACCUGCCCUUGACUUUGGGAUAACUUCAGGAAACUGGGGCUAAUACCGGAUAGGAGCUCCUGCUGCAUGGUGGGGGUUGGAAAGUUUCGGCGGUUGGGGAUGGACUCGCGGCUUAUCAGCUUGUUGGUGGGGUAGUGGCUUACCAGGGCUUUGACGGGUAGCCGGCCUGGGAGCGUGACCGGCGACAUGGGGCCUGCGAUAGGGAGCAGACGCCAACGGGAGGCAGCAGUGGGGAACAUGGCACAGUAGGCGGGAGUCUGAGGUAGCAACGUCGCGUGCGGAAAGACGGGUUUCGAGUGAUGAACCGAUUUGGAAGGUGCUGAACAGUGCGUGACGGUACCGGGUCAGGAAGCACCGGCUAACUACGUG